GAAGGGAGGGGGACAUCAUGCCUGACAAAUUAGAGAGAGACAAUCGCUCCCAUUUUUUACUCGAAGACAGCUGGGUGUACCUCUGGCGAGCGGAGAGAGGGGGACAAAGCGACCACAGAGGAGGGAGACACAGGGCCUGACAAAUUGGAGAGAGAUGGGAGCUACGGGUUUGGACUGAGUGAGAGAGAGAUUUAGGUAGGUGCUCUACCAGGAUCUAUGGGAUUUUCUCCCAUUUUAGAGAGAUAGAUGGGUAGGGAGAGAGAUACAGAGCGGAAAACAUGGGUGUGUGUAUUCUUUAGGGUUAACGGGUUAUGCGUAGAGACGGUGAGGAGGGGAUGAGUGAGGGACGAAUGGCAGUUUUCAAUUUUCUCCCUUGAUUCAAAAGGUAAUGCACUGCUUUUUUUUCAUUGUUUAGUGUCUAAUUGCCAUUUGCUUUGUUAAAAUUUCCAUUUAUAUUUUGUUCUUUCAUUCAAACUGUAAUGGAUGUUUAUAAAUUGUUGAGUUGGGUGCUAGGAUUAUGUCUCUAUUUUUGUGAAUUAGGGUCUUCCGCUGCUUUAGGGGGGGUGUCUUCAAUUAGCAUUUUUAGAGAGUUUUAGGGAAUUUAAAUCUAUAGAAUUUGAGAAAGUUUGAGAGAAAAAAAAAAUGAAUUCCUAGAGAUUUUGAGUGAAUUAAUUAUAACUUCCAGAGAACUCACAUGAAUUGUGAGAGAAUUCUUUACAUAGGGUUAGAGAAUUGCAGAGAAUUUGAUCAACAAUUUCCUUCUCUUUACAAGCCAAAAUUUUCAUCCUACUAAUACCUAAUUGCAAUACCAAGUUCAUAUGCAAUGUUUUCAACUUGCUAUCAAAGUGAAAGAGGAACCCGAUCGAUUAGUGUCAAAACAUAACUACUCAAAGCAAAAAGAUUUAUCCAGCGUUCAACCAUGUUGAUAUCCAAUUGUCCUUAAAGCUUAAGUUGAUUGGAAACAAAUGCAACAAUGCAUGAAGAAUAACAGACUGACAAGUCUAUAUAGAUAUACAACCUUAACCCAAGUUGGCCUACUUCCACAUUAGUUGUCACCGUGCCAUGUAAUUUCAUACACACAUUAAGCAACUUACGUCUUGCGAAGUCCGAGGUUAUAUCGCUGCUCUCCAGGUGUUUGUACGGAAGAAGCAAUGGAUUUAAAUUGCAUACUCCAAUCCGUAAAAACAAUUAAUUCUCUAUUUCUCAUCUUUGAAUGCUAUCACUCACAGCAUCUGUCCACAUAUUUGUAGCUAUGUCAGCUCUCCAUGCAUUAGCAAUCUGUCGUUGUUGCUCUUGAGUUUGAUUACCUAGUUCAUCAUCAUUUUCUUCAUCUUCAGAUUCAUCAUCUUCUGGUUCAAUUGGAAAUUCAUCAGAACGACACUUCUUGCGAAGAAAGUUGUGCAACCCUGCAUAAGCUAACACUAACUAUGCUUGUGUUUUAAUUGGAAAUGGAGGUGCAUACUUAAAAAUUGUGAAUCGAGAUUUAAAUACACCAAAUAUCAUCUCCACUACGUUUCUCAAGAAAACAUGUCGAAGAUUGAACAACUCAUUCGCAUUUACGGGGUCACGAUCGUUACCAGCAAAAUCUUGGAGAUGAUGUCGAACACCUCGAAACAGAGCUAAAAAUUGAUGACAAUUUGCAAAUCCACAAUCCACUAGAAAAAAUUUACCUAAAAUUAAAACACAUAAAGUUAUUAUUUAUGGUACAUCCUAGUGUAAAUAAAUAAAUAAAUGAAUGAAUACACACCUUCUGGCACUUUAAGUUUGUUCCUCCUUGAUACAACAUCAUGUAAUAGUUUGGAGUCAUAAGCUGAACUCUCCCAUCCGCUAAGAAUAUAUAUGAAUUCCAAAUCAAAGUUAUAAGCAGCUAAUACAUUUUGUGAUAUUUUACCAUGAUGAUAACGAUAGCUAGCUACUUCGGGUCCCGAUACCAUUGCUGGUAUAUGUGUUCCAUCAAUAGCUCCAACACAAUCCUACAAUAAUUAUAAGAAUUAAUACAUAGCUACUAAUAUGCUUAUGAAACCAGUUUAAUCAGGACAUGGUUAAGAUAAGUACUAAUUACUAGCCUUAAAAUAAGGGUAAAAUCUUGUACUUUCUUUUAUUUUAGUUGGCACCAUGGAUUCAGGUUGGACCAUCAAAUUUGGUGCAAUUAUGUUCAAGGCCUUCAAAAUGUUUUUGAAAUUUUUUCUUGUUGUAAAUUUGACCGCCGAAAUGUGUCCCGAAUUUGACAAUAUCAAGAAUUUUGACUAAUAGUGAGUAAAAAUGUAGCAACCAUUUCUUCAAUACAAAUAAAUCUUGUACCCUUCAAAUGCGUCUUUUCCAUAAGGACAUCACAUAGCUUUAAGAAAACAUCCGGAUACAUCCUAUAUAGCACUCGAAAUUCUUGAGGAUCCUCAUUCAAUACCUUGUUAAUAUAAUCGUAUCCAGUUCUACUAAUAGGUCGUCAAGCCAAUGGACGUUCAAUAUGAUCAUCAUGUAUAAUAACCAUUAACGCAUUUAGCACUUGAACUAUUGCUUGUACUGCCAUCAAUAGUACAAACAAAAGCCAGAAUCUCUGCAAUUCUCAUAUUGAACUAUAAACCAACAAUCUCUAUUAAUCACAUACGCAUUUAGCUAGUUGAAAACAUUGGAUAUAAACUUGGUAUUGCGAUUUGGUAUUAGUAGGAUGAAAAUUUUGGCUUGUAAAGAGAAGGAAAUUGUUGAUCAAAUUCUCUGCAAUUCUCUAACCCCAUGUAAAGAAUUAUUUCACAAUUCAUGUGAAUUCUCUGGAAGUUAUAAUUAAUUCACUCAAAAUCUCUGGGAAUUCAUUUUUUUUUUUUCCUCUCAAACUCUCUCAAAUUCUAUGGAUUUAAAUUCCCUGAAACUCUCUAAAAAUCCUAAUUGAAUACACCCCCGAAGUAGAUGAAGAACAACAGGACUGCCGCUGCAUACAGGCUUACAAUAUUCGAAACAAUGGGAAGAAGUUGCAGAGGAAGAAAGAUUGUACCUUCGCAAAGAAUUCGAAACGAUGGGAAACCCAAAUCGCAGAAAGAGAGGGCGUCGGACGAAGAACAGAGAAGACGCUCUCUGGAGGAGAGAGCAGCACGCUCAAAAUCUCUCAAACGUUCUUUUUCCAUUUCACAUCAUUCGAAUAUCUCUAUGUUGCUAGAUCCAACACAAGCAUACAUAUCAAACCAUUCAUUCACACAACAGCCACCAAAUCAACCAUUACUGAGAAGGAAUCUAACACUGUAAGAAGCUGAAUUCUGGUGGAAAUUGGACAACUUUGUGGGGAUUUCAAGGUCUUUCUGAGAGGUGAAUGUUUUGGAAGAUUUUAUAAAUUUGGAUCAUUCAAGGAAGAAGUUGGUUCCAUGCUGUUUUGAGGUAUAUAAUUAUACGCCAUCAUUUUUGUUCAAAGUCUAUUUAGCUAUCUACCUUUUUUUAUUUAUAUUUGUGAAGCUCUGAUGCUUAUAUUGGAACUGAGUUUCUUUCUAUUUAAUGUGCGUAUUUGUAUCUGUUCAUUAAUGUCAAGGCUGAGAUAACUAAGCAUCCAUUGAAGUUUAACGAAUGCUUAUAUAUACAUAUAAGAUCUGAAAGGGAUG